AUGGACGAAAGUCUGACGGAGCAACGCCGCGUGAGUGAUGAAGGUUUUCGGAUCGUAAAACUCUGUUGUUAGGGAAGAACAAGUACCGUUCGAAUAGGGCGGUACCUUGACGGUACCUAACCAGAAAGCCACGGCUAACUACGUGCCAGCAGCCGCGGUAAUACGUAGGUGGCAAGCGUUGUCCGGAAUUAUUGGGCGUAAAGCGCGCGCAGGCGGUUUCUUAAGUCUGAUGUGAAAGCCCACGGCUCAACCGUGGAGGGUCAUUGGAAACUGGGAGACUUGAGUGCAGAAGAGGAGAGUGGAAUUCCACGUGUAGCGGUGAAAUGCGUAGAGAUGUGGAGGAACACCAGUGGCGAAGGCGACUCUCUGGUCUGUAACUGACGCUGAGGCGCGAAAGCGUGGGGAGCGAACAGGAUUAGAUACCCUGGUAGUCCACGCCGUAAACGAUGAGUGCUAAGUGUUAGAGGGUUUCCGCCCUUUAGUGCUGCAGCUAACGCAUUAAGCACUCCGCCUGGGGAGUACG
rnacentral:rRNA from 1 species